AUGUGCCUCUCUCUACCUAAAGAUGGAUUAUUGAUGACGACGAUUGAUGGCCACGCUGCUUCCGUAUUAAGGGCUAACUCGGUUCGUGCUACUAGACCCUGCUCCGUUGGAGUGAAAAUAAAGGCAGAGUCAGAGACGGCAUUCGGAACAUCAAGAUUUUGGAUUGUGUGGGCCAUCCUGACUAACGAAGAGGUCGCCUUCUCCCCUCCCCACCGUGUAUUAAUUCUCUGGCUGAGACACCGUGAACUGGGCAGAGAUUGACGGCAAUUCCCUGGAGCUAAAAGUCUCCCCGUUGAAAACGUAACCAGAUAGCCAGCGAACACAAAACAUCUGCUCCAACUUCCUAUUAAAUAUAUUUAUAGACGGCAGUUUGCAAAGCAAGACGUCGCUUCCCAAGAACGUGAAAACGUCGAGGUCCUCACAACCGCCGCUCGUCCUCACGACCGCUGCUCGCCAGUGACAGCAGCCAAGAUUCUCUAGGUGGCAUUGUCGGCGUGCCGUGAAGGGCUCUGGGAUCAUGCCAGGAACAGCUGCUUCUGAGGGUGAGUAGAGCACUGAAUUAAGCAUAGAGAGCACGAGAGCGGGAUUCAGAGGACCUGUAUCCUCAUCCCGGCUCCGCCUCGGGCAAAUCACUCAACAGCUCUUUGCCUGUUUCCCCAUCUAUAAAAUGGGGACGAGAUACCUACUUCCCUCUUAGACCGCGAGUCCGGUGUGGUACAGGGACGGUGUCCAAUUUAAUUAUCUUGUAUCUACCGCAGCUCUUAGCGUCGAGAAUCGGCGUUUAAUAAAAAACAUAAUAAAUGAAAGCUCAAGAGAAAACUGUCAUAAAUGCCAAAUAGCACCCAAGCAUUGUGGAGAUGGACACUGAGCUAUGCUGUUUCAAGGCAAAACAGCGAUGUUUCUGCUCGAUCGGUCACCCUUCCUUCUUUCAUCUCCUCUCCUCUGAAGCUAAGUUCACCGAGAACUUUAAAGAUGCCCUCUAAAGUUAUUAGGGAUAGUAAUUGAAAUAGUUUUGGGCUGACAGUAAAGUCGAUGGCGGAAAUUAUUCAGGCUCUUAAAAUGGGAUAAUAAACCCACUUUCUUCCUCCUGGAAUCAGCUCAUUUAAUUAGAAAGAUCUUAAUAAAUUCAGCUUGAUUAACUCCAACCUUGUGGUGGAAGGUUACCCACUGUUGUAGAGAUAAUUGUAAACGGAGGGGGAAAAAAUAAAAAUUAGAACAAAAGAGAAGGAAGAAAACAUUCAUUACUAAAGGAAUCCGGAGAUCUGGGUUAAUUAUGCCGAAGGAACCUUGGAGAAACAUGUGCUGGUGUGAUGGUUGCUUUAGUUGAGUUGCAGAAUGGCAUUUGGGUUUAGUUUAUUUGGCUCCAUCAGUCAAUCAAUGGUAUUUAUUGAGCGCUUAUUAUGUGCAGAGCACUGAACUAAACGCUUGGGAGGGUACAAGUAAGCUACUACUGAAAGCUCCCUCCUGAAAGCUAAACUCCUCCAGGAGGCCUUCCCAGACUUAGCCCCCCUUUUCCACGGCUCCCUACCCUCUCUCCAUCUCCCCGACUCACUCCCUUUGCUCUACCCGCCUCCCCGCCCCACAGCGCUUGUGUACGUAUGUACAUAUUUAUAAUUACAAUUCUGUUUAUUUUUAUUAAUGAUGUGUAUCUAUCUAUAAAUCUAUUUAUUUAUAAUGUUGCUAUUGAAGA
rnacentral:lncRNA from 1 species